UGCUGAUGCCGUAUCUAUGUUUCCUGAUUUCGUUCCUAGGGUUUCUUUCUCCAGAGUUGUCUCCCUUUGGGUUUUCUUUAUUGUUUCUACUUCCAUUUUUAGAUCCUGGAUGGUUUUGUUCAAUUCUAUCAUCUGUUUGGUAGUGUUUUCCUGUAACUCUCUAAGGCAUUUUGUGUUUCCUCUUUAAAGGCUUCUAGCUGUUUACCUGUGUUUUCCUCUAUUUCUUUCUUAAAGUUCUCCAUCAUCAUCAUAAGAAGUGACUUUAGAUCCAUGUCUUGCUUUUCUGGUGUGAUGGUGUAUCCAGGACUUGCUAUGAUGGGAGAAUUUGGUUCUGAUGAUGCCAAGUAACCUUGGUUUCUGUUGCUUCUGUUCUUAUACUUGCCUCCUGCCAUCUGAUUUCAAGUAUUUGCUGUCCUCAAUAUAUCUGAUUGGAGCCUGUCCUUCCUAUAAUCUCAGUUGAUUCAGGACUCCUCAGAGUCUAGCUUUCUCUGUGAUCCUUUCCUUGUGUGCUCCUUUGAACCUGAGAUUCUGGGUGUGUCAGAGUUCUUGGCAGUCAAAUUCCUCUGAUACCCUGAAAUACUGGUGUGACCAAGCUCCUUUUAUCCUGGGAUCCUGUUGUCAAAGAUUCUGGGCAUGUUACCGUGCCUGGAAGUGGUGUUUCCGUAGGUCAGUGGUCCUAAGAUUGCAUGGAGAGUCCUGUAGGGACCUUGGGGGUGCCUGCAGACUCUGUGCCCAAGGUGACCCGGUGCUGGCACCAACCAGACGGGACUUGUGACCCUGGUCAGGCUGGGUUUUCUGCUUCCCUAAUGCUGUCACAGGUCUUGUGCAAUUGGAUUGAAACAGAAGUUGUGUUCCACUCACCAAUGGUCCUAAGAUCAUGUGGAGAGUCCUCAAGGGACCUUGGAGAUGUCCGCCGACUCAUCGCACAAGGUGAUCCAGUGCUGGUGCUGACCAGAAGGGCAUGCUGGAAUUUCUUAAAAGGCUUGACUCUUGUUUUAUGGACAUCAAAGAUGAUUACAUUUCCCAGAUACACUGACUAGAGCGUCAAUGAACAUGAAUGUGCAAACAUCUCUGUAAAUACCAGAAGUUCAGGACAGCAUACUUACAAUCCAGCUCAAAAGUGUCACCAAACAUGAAUAAGCAGCAGUGGCAUGAUCCUGAAGAAACAACCAAGCCUCCACAGAAUCGCCAUGAGUAAGCAAGAGUGAUCACAACCAGCCGGAAUGCCAAUAGAAGUUCUCCACUGUGCCUCUCUCAGCAAAGUGAAGAUGGAAGAUGAAAGAAGUGUUGCAGGACUAGCUAUGCAAAUACACUGUCACAGUCUAUUCUGUCCUACUUAUACUCUCUCCAAACAUAACAUGUAUUCUCAUGGGUCUGCUUCAGCAAAACAUCACAUGAAUCUGCCUCAGCAAAACAUCCCACAAGUCUGCUUCAGUAAAGUAUCACAUGACACAACCAGAAAUUUUCUCUUCAAUACCCAGUGUUACACAUUUGGAGAAAACUAAUUUUUUCUCCCCCAGAAGGUAUAAAUGGCAGUUCAUCUGUUAUUCUUUACCCUAGCAGCUAGGUUUUCAUUCAUUCAUGCAUGCAUGCAUUCAUUCACUCAGGCAGUCAGUCAUUUUUUUUAGCUAUGACAAAAUAAUAUUUAAUAAAAAGAAAAGACAAAUUAUAUCAAAGUUCAACAGGAUAAAUCAGAAGGAAAAGAGCUUAUGUGAAGGCACAUGAAUUAGAGAUCCCCUUGUUCAUACAGCCAGGAAUCCCAUAAAAUACUAAAUUGGAAGCAAUUUUAUACACACAGAGAGAGAGAGAGAGAGAGAGAGAGAGAGAGAGAGAGAGACAGACAGACAGACAGACAGACACACACACACACGUAGGACCUGGUGCAGACCCAUGCAGACCAUGUGCAUACUGCUUCAGUCUCUAUGAGUACAUAUGAGCUUUGCUGAGUUUAUUUGAAUGUGUCUGUGUCCUGUUUUUUUCAUCUGAAAGGAGGAAAUUCCAAUUAAGAAACGUCUUCAUAAGAGCCACCUGCAAGCCAUUUUCUCAAUUAGUGAUUGAUAUAUGAUGGCCCAGUGCAUUAUGGGUAGUGCUGUCCCUGCUCUGGUGGUGCUAGGUUCCAUAAGAAAUAGAUUGAGCAAGCCAUGUGAGCAAGCAAGUAAGCAGCACCCAUCCAUAACCUCUGCAUCAGCUCCUGC
rnacentral:lncRNA from 1 species